AAUUUAUUGAAUAUUAAAAUUGCAGAAUAUAUGGUUUGGAAUUCACCAAAAGAAUAAAAAAAUAAUCCAAUAUAUUAUCCAAGAUCGACUUAAUCAAUUUUUUAAUAACCUUUUAUACUUUAUGAGGUCAAUAAAUAAUGGGUCUUUUGAUGGGAAGAGAAGAGUUUUGCCCAAUUUUAGGUUUAUGUCGCACCCUCUAUUUAUUCUUUUCCCUAUGGAUUUGACAAAAAUAAGCUAUGAAGAAUAUGUUGAGUUAUAUAACUACUAUAAGACAAAGGCAUUUCAAAAUGGCCUGGAAAAUAUUUCAGCACAGAUGAGAUAGUAUUUUAUAGCAGUCUAUUCAUAAGCAUAUAAAAUCAUGUUUGAACGUAUAACAUCAAUACGACUUCUGAACGUAUUUCUUGUAAAGACAUUAUAUUUUGUUAAGCUAAACUUUUAUCACUAUAUUUCUUACUUUUUUACGAUACUUCCAAGUUGUGAAGAUUCAUUUUAUCUCUGAUACUAGAUGCAGUUGAAGGUGUAUAAGAGUACAUUUCUUCAAUACUUUCAGGAUAUGAUCUUUUAAUCAUCUGUACGGAUUCAAUUCUUCCAUCAAACUCAUUAUUAUGGUGUCUUUUAUUAUUAAUUUGACUGCGAUGAAAAAUCAUAUUAUUUAUACGAGUUUGGUUAUCAAACUGGUUAAAGUGUUGAUAUUCUGAUCCAAUAUUACAUAAUGAUUCAUGUAAAUUGUUAAUAUGAUUAUUUUUAUGUCCAAAAGACUUGUCUCUCCAUACAAGUGGGAUAUCAAGAAGACUUAACGGGGUAAAUUGAUUUGAUAGAUGGAAAGUCUCUUCCGAACAUAAAUUUCUUUCGCUUAAAUGCUGACCAACUUUGCUACUUUCAGUGUUGAAUAAACUUGAAACCAGAGAAGGCAUUCCUUCAAAUGACUUAUCAAUACUAUCUGAACCAAAUUUGUUUAUGGAGCCUAAGCUUGAUGUUGUUGAAACUGCGUUAUAUGGAUGGUAUAAUCUGCUAUCAUUAAAUAUAUUUUUUCCAUCAAAAUUCAUUGAUAAAUCUUGUCUUUGGUUUGUUAUCUUCUGAAUUGGUACUGGAAGCGUUUCAACAUCUAAUGGAAUGAAUUCUCCCUUUUGUGGUUUAGACCUGAGUUCUUCUAUCCCAUGUGCAUAUCUGCACGAAUCACCAACUACGCAGCUCCCUUUAAUCCAAUAAACGCAAAGUGAGGUCUUGAAAAGAUCUGACGUUGCUCGAAGUUCUUUCCUCGAAUGUGCAUAUCUACAUUGUGGGUUUCUACAUAUGCCUUCUUUUAAUUGUAUUUCACAAAGUUUAGUUCGUGUUAAAUCCACGCUUGGUCUCAAUUCAUCAAUAGAAUGUGCCCAAUUACAUUCCUUAUCCAUUCUGCAUCGUCCAACUGCAAACCAAGGGCACUUUUUUGUUUUAUAAAAUUGAGCCAUUAUUUUUUUUAAAUGUCUUUUUUAUUAAAAUUUGAUUUAUAUACAGGAUUGUUUAUCUUCCACAACAAAUAAUACUAUUAAAAAUUGAACAAAAAAAAAGUAUUAUCUUUAUUAUUAGUUAUAAUGCAUAAGGUUUUACUAAAUAC
rnacentral:antisense_RNA from 1 species